GUUCCCCCAAACCCAAAUCCAUUUUUGGGUCCCCAAGACCAUUUUUUGAGGUUCUCCAACCCAUUUUGGUGGUCUCCAGGCCAUUUUUGAUACCCCCUAACCCAUUUUAACCCAAUUCCCCACCCCUUCCACCAUCCCCCUCAGGUCGUUUUGGGGUUCCCCUAACCCCAAAUCCAAUUUUGGGUCCCCGAGACCAUUUUUGAAGUUCUCCAACCAAUUUUUUGAGGUUCUCCAACCCAUUUUUGAUGUUCUCCAGGCCAUUUUUCAUACCCCCUAACCCAUUUUAACCCAAUUCCCCACCCCUUCCACCACCCCCCCAGGUCGUUUUGGGGUCCCCCGACCCCCGGGUCCAUUUUUGGGGUUCCGUCACUCACCGUUGAUGAUGGUGGGGGCCCGAAAACGCCCGGCCAACUGGUCCCAUUCCAGGAGGGCGCAGGCACCGGCGAAGGGUUGGGCCAGGGCCACCCCUGGGUGCCCCCCCAGGGCGAAGGGCUCGGCCGCCAGCGAGGCGAAGGGCAGCGACUGGAAGGGCCGCAGCUCUGCGGGAUCCCCCAUUAGCCCCCCCAAAACCUGGGACACCCCCCCGGGGACCCUUCCCACCCUGGGAGACAUCUUUUGUGUCACUAUAGGGAGGGGACACGAGGGGACCCAGAAAUUGGGGACAUAUAGGACCAGGGUGUUGGGGACAAGGGGAACCCAAAAUUGGGGACAAGAAGACCCAGAAAUUGGGGUCCAUAUAGGGCCAAGGUGUUGGGGACAAGGGGGACCCAAAAUUGGGGA
rnacentral:lncRNA from 1 species